AAAAAAGCUUGGUUUUGUAAUUCAAGCAAGCUAAGCUAUGGUGGCCACGGGUGUGAGGGAAUUAUGAAUUUUGUCGGGUGAAAUCCAAGCUAAAACAAAGUGGAAGUGCAAAGGUAAAGUUAGAGUACUGUGGUGGUGUACCGGGGGAAAUAACGAGGUACUGGCAAGUAGGAAUAGCUAGAUACACCUUCGAACAAAUAUCGAUGUAAUGUCUUGCUAUCGUAAAUGAAAGCACCUUGGAUUUUAUCUGGCCAAAAUUUUGUUGCAGCGAGAAUGCCUUUUCACUGCGGUUUCCUGAGUUAAAGGUAAUUGGAUCCUAGGGCGAGGUGCUUUUCCCUAUCCAUUGCUCGGUAGGUUUAACAUGACACUAAACGUUAGCAGUCAUGCCCAAAGUCACUUCG